rfam:Sorghum bicolor cultivar BTx623 chromosome 10, whole genome shotgun sequence.
GCAGUCGGAUUCGCAUCAAUCCAUAUGUUUUGGGGUAGAUUGGAGUGGAACUUAAACUAAAUUCCACCCUAAUCCAUCUUAAUACAUGUGGAUUGAGGUGAAUCCGACA